GAUGAACGCUGGCGGCGUGCCUAAUACAUGCAAGUCGAGCGAACAGACGAGGAGCUUGCUCCUCUGACGUUAGCGGCGGACGGGUGAGUAACACGUGGAUAACCUACCUAUAAGACUGGGAUAACUUCGGGAAACCGGAGCUAAUACCGGAUAAUAUAUUGAACCGCAUGGUUCAAUAGUGAAAGACGGUUUUGCUGUCACUUAUAGAUGGAUCCGCGCCGCAUUAGCUAGUUGGUAAGGUAACGGCUUACCAAGGCAACGAUGCGUAGCCGACCUGAGAGGGUGAUCGGCCACACUGGAACUGAGACACGGUCCAGACUCCUACGGGAGGCAGCAGUAGGGAAUCUUCCGCAAUGGGCGAAAGCCUGACGGAGCAACGCCGCGUGAGUGAUGAAGGUCUUCGGAUCGUAAAACUCUGUUAUUAGGGAAGAACAAAUGUGUAAGUAACUAUGCACGUCCUGACGGUACCUAAUCAGAAAGCCACGGCUAACUACGU
rnacentral:rRNA from 1 species